rnacentral:lncRNA from 1 species
UCAGCAAAUAUGCCUUCACUUGAUCCGAAUAUCGCUUGGUUGCUUAUCACUACAGUCAUCGUAAUUGUUUGACCCCAAAAAUCCUCUCCAAAUUUGGAGUAACAUCCUUUCAACUGCACAUCACUAACCUGUUUGAAAUAAGCAUUUACCCCGAUUCUAACCAAAAUACGCAAGACUAUCAGGUAGAGCAAGAAACCUCUUAAUCAACAUCUUCAUUCUGCAGCCUAUCAAUGUACAUGUCAUAAUACUUCGCGGCCGACUCCAUUUCACCAAUUUCGGAAUAGCAAUCACCGAUGGCUCCAUAGGCUUCGGUAUUUCCUGAAAAUUCAUUGGUCUUGUCGGAUAUCGAUAGAACCAGCUGAUGAAACUUAAUUGCAUCCCUGUACUUCUUCUGCCGCUGGCAUGCAGCCCCUGUUACACAACUCAACAUCAGCAUGUGGAAUCUACAUGCGCAUCUUCCAUGUAAUUGAGAUGAAAUUCACCCUCAUGAAUCAUCUGUUAUACCGAACUUACCUAGCCCUCGUGCGGCUUUCUUCUCUUCCACAGUGUCUCUGUACUUCCUGGCCAGUUGAAGGGCCUUUUCAAACUCAAGAAAUGCUCCAGCAGGAUUCUGUUCACGCAGCAAUCGUUUUCCAGAUCUCAAAAACUGCAGCAACUCCUCCUUUCCUAGGUCUACAGGUUCUGCUGUUGCAACACUAGAGCGACCUGCGACAGGUGCAUAUUUCAAACUAGGUGCAUAUGACUCUACUCGCGCCUGUCUCCUUAGAUUUAGAUUGAUCUGCCGGAGUUGAGUGUUGAUGUUAUACAACUCGUCUCUUCUUUGUCGCGCAAUUACACCUGCAUGAGCAAUCCCUUCUAAAUUUAGCAGAAGAUACGAAAACCUGACGGCUCGUCGAUUCCCAAAGAAAAAUCGACUAAUACUGCAGUUUAUAUGAAUGACAUAAAUCAUUCCAUAAAUACCAUGGCAAUCAUUCGAUAAAAAAACACUAGAACCGCUUACAGCGACAUAUUGGUACACUAAAGCAUAGAGGCACCACUAAUAUCAGCAGGCUCUCGUCGAAAGAGCGCUGCCUCAAACUAGCAAGGUAGUCACAGAUGUUCUAACAAAGAAUUUUGAAUCUCUACGGCUCUGACCUGCAACGACUGCUCCAGUCAACGCAACGGCUUCAGCAAUGCACAAAACGGUAAUAAGAUUGUUCACAUUGCCCCCGGCAGCGUCGACAAGCAAAUCUGGUAGAGAUUCAGCCCUUGCACUGCACUCCAGCAGGAGGUUCCCUGCAAGAAAUGCUAAACCUACUUUCGCAGGCCGAUAAUGCCAUCUUCUCUGCAGAUAUGAAGUUCAACUCAAUCGUAAUUCAAGACAAUGUAAGGAAAGAAUGAAUUCAAAGUGACCUUCACGUGUAAAUUCCAAAUUAAUGUGAUCGUGUCAGUGGAUGCGAAAAUUGAUUUAAUGAAACAUCUACAAGUGCAGCAAAAAAUUGGGGUUUGAGAGUCAAUGCUGUACUACCAAACACAGAGAACCAAAAGAUGACAUACUUCGGAAUGUUCAACGGAAGCAGCUGUAGCUGGUCUAUGAGAACAACACGGCACGCGCCUUAUGGCAUUGCGAUCCACAAUACGCAAGCUCGUACGCACGCCAAAACAUUCACUGCUCCCCGAUGAAAGCCCUGCAAAGCUCCCUGUACUCCUACUUCUACUACUAGAAACCUCACCUAAUUGAGAGCAGCAAGACGUCAAAGACGUCCACUCAAAACCGCAGGUCGUCGCCAUAGCUGCAACCAGUAGACACUAACAAUGCUAACACAUAGAAGACAAUCUUCGGAGUAAUUCAACAGACAAUAACGCUUUUUCCAACGCCGCUCGCAGUGCCGCUAAAACCUAAAAUCUACACACUGUGAAGCUCAGUUCACAGACGACGGCACUGGAUGUAGAAUCAUUCCAAUGUAGUGCGAACAAGCCAGAAACACUAGUUAUGGCCACAAGGAGAUAUUGAGCUUGCAACCACCAUAGCCACAUCCAACGAUGCAGCGAAGUAGACUUGAGCACAUCGCCUCAUCUCCUCAACAUCUUCCACCAAAUCAACAAAAUUUGUUAAUACUCCACACCAUCUACGAAAAUCUAAUGAAAAGUAUUGAUUUACGCGGAAGGAUGAGAAAAUAUUGAUGAAAAAACCAAGUGGGCUUAUCCAAUCAGGAUGCGCACCAUUCACGGUUCCCCACGGGAUGUCGCGAGGUUUGCCUUCCGCACCCGCAAUGCUAAAGCCAGAGUGGAACUGCUGACUCGGAAGUGGAGUCGCCACGUGGGAUUCGCCUGGGAUUGUCGUAGUUCCAUGUAUCUCGCACGGUAUACGGUAACCCUCGGUCAUGGAUUGAUACGCCCGGCGAUAGGUGACGCAGCCACUUUCCGUGCCGUCCCGAAGAGUGGCUGGCUGUGUGGGAGAGAAGUUUGUGGUACGUGAAAUUUGUUGUUUCUGCACAGAAUUGUCAGUGAAUGAUCGAUUUGUUUGUUAGUAGGAAGCCCAUCGUAUUCAUUCAGUUCAAAAGCCUCAUCAUUCUCAUCACUCUGUAAUUUUCAGGGCAGAAUUUGGACCAGAACCAGAUUGAAUCUGCCCAAAAAUGGUGUUCUCGUAAAUGGACUUAAGUUGGUCCAAGUUUUGCGAGUGCAAAACAGUGAACCAUGUGGAUGUUCAAUGUAGUAGCUAUUUUUCCAUGUAGUAGUGUCCUUUCAUGUCGAGAAUGAAUUGCUGGUUUUGUAGAGGAGGUAUUGAGAAACCUCAUCGAUCUUUGACAUGUUCUAGAUUUUUGGUGAGGAUGAAUAUUUGGUCCUGAGAGCAGUGGUGCACGGAGAUUUGAAUGCACCACCGGACUGUUGUUGCUGUAGAGCUAGCUGUUAGCAGAAUGAGAUGUCCAAGACUGUGAUGAAAAAUGCGGACCGUAUACGGUUGAAAUCGUGUUGAAAUUUCACGCAGGUCGGAUGCUAUACGUUGCCAUGGCAUGUCCAUUUUAAUUGUCUGUGAAUACUACUCCACGGGCGACGUUGCAGAAAGGCAGGCAUGCUGAAAUUUACUGCAGUCCAUCACGCCACGCCCAAUGUAUCUGUACAGAAGUUGUAGAAAUUAGAGCGUUUCAAAUUUCAAUGGACUUCACCCGAUCUUUGUGAGGUAAAGCUUUUGGUAAAGUUCUGCUGAAUGCUUGUAGUAUCAUACCAGUCAAUAACAUUAGGAUUUGGAAUUCGAUCUGCAAAACAGAUUUCCGAAGACUGAGCAACUGGUAGUCUCGCUCUGUGCUGAGAAUUUUUGUGCUCCAUCUUACGAGAAGAAACUAUGCCAAUAUUCACUGGAUUAUGGAAUUAUACGCGUCUGCUGUCGCAGGAUUUGUUGUUGAUCGGUGUGAAGUGCAGCAGCCAUGUCUUGAUAAGUGAACGGGAUGAAUGCAUUUUAGCCCUGAGAGUACUGCUACAAAUGAGAUGGAUCGAUUGCCAACUCAGCAUAUUACUGGACCUGCUUUCUGCUGAAUUGGGCACGUCACAUAUCCACGACGCUUGUCUAUUGCUUGCGAGUUUCUAAAAAUUGCAUGGGCCUCAAUCCCUAUUUCUCUCUAUUGUCCAAUUCCGCACAACCCUCAAAACAAGAAUUGGUGUUCUUGGUUGUCAGGAGCACUUUCAGGCUUUACCGCACUCAUUGAACUCCCGGAUUGUAUAUUAUCGUGUUGGGGUUUUCAUUCUUGGUGGAAAAAAUUGCGGCAACGUCGAUGUGAUGCAUUAUCGUGACUUGAGAAGGGGGCUUCAUUGUGUGGCCGGUGGAAUUUUUUUUGAGUCCGGUUUCUUAGUUUGUUUUAUCGCUUAAGUGUGUUGGAGCGGCGUACUGAUUUCGCGCAAUGACAAGGUACAAAGCAUGCUGCGUUUGUUUUUGGUACAGCUGAGGGCUUGUGAUUGCAAAAGUUUUUUGAUUAGGGAUUGUGAUGAAUUAUGUGCUGGCUUGCAUUGUUGAGAGGCAGAGGAGGCAAGGUGAGGAUUGCUUCCGAUCCUAAUGUAUUUCUAGUUGUGGGGGACGCUGGAAGGGGGGAAGCUGAGUUUGUAAUGCAUAUCGAGUAAUGCUACAGUUACUAAAACUCAGCCACAAACUGUGUUGUGCUAUGCUGAAUUCUUGAUUUUCAGUGACGCUUGGCAAGCGCAGGUUUUACUCUAUUAGUAAUUUGCAUCAUCGGAGUGAAUUAACGGUGACGGAAAAGUAUUGUUGAAUCGGUGUUCUUUAGAGGAAAAAAUAUCCUUCCAAGUAACGAGCAUUCAUGUCUUUCUAUGAACCUCUGUUCUGCAGAUUUCUUUGUUAGCAGCCAUAUUGCCAUCCUAACCAGUGAUAGUAUGGUGGUGUCCGUUGUACAUGAAUGGAAUUUGAAGCCCCAAUUCUGCGUUCUUGACAUUGUGUGUUCCUUCGAUGGUUUUUUUGCAGGUCUCGCGUGAAGCGGAAAGCGGUGGCAGAACUAGGAGUACUAAAAGCUCAAGCUGAAAGCGAUGGAGGGCCGUCCUCUUCAGGACCAGUGACACCGAAGAGAGCACGCAAGUUGGAAGCAGAACCUCCAGAGAAAAGAUUGUCACGUUUCGUUAGGAAACCUUCGAUGGCUGUCAAGGAGCGCAUUCAACGAGCCUACAAUCACCGAUUAUAUCUUAUUGAUAAAAAGAUGAUGGAUUCCGAAGAGAGCUUACUGACUGGAUGUGAAUUUUUUGUCCUCGGUGCAACAGGAAAUGUUUACUCAGUAAAACUAGAAAAGUUGCCAUCUUGUACUUGUCCAGAUGCGAGGAGAGGUAAUAUCUGCAAGCAUUUCUUGUUUGUAAUGUUACGUGUUCUCAAGCUGCCAGAGUCAGAUACAAGAGUAUGGCAAAAAGCAUUGCUGCAGACUGAGCUCGAAGACCUACUGAAAAUUUCGGCCAUCAAUGAAGAUAUUGUAGCCAGUCAACUUGUUCGGCAGCGAUUUCAUGAAAUUACAGGUUUUCUCUACAUCUUCGUACUUCAAUAGAGCAGUUGUAACUGUUGCGUUUGUAAUAUGUAUUUCUUUUGAUUUGAUUUUUUUUAGGCAUGUGAAAAUAUAAAAUAUAAUUUGGUAUAGUAGUUUGUAAUAGAAACAGUUCGACUGGAAACCGAGGAUUCUUCUUACGUUACAGAGUCCAACGUGUGUCAUCGAAUUGUAAGCUGUAUCUGCAUUAAUUAGAUUCUUGUAAAUCAAGUGCCUAUUGUGUUAACGUUUGUCUUACUUGCGAUACGACUGAAGUGCGUGCAACAAGACAAAUUAAAAAUAUCACUUUGUGAGGCGCGAUAAUGUAGCCCAGAAUAUGAAUGGCAAGUCUCCUCACAAAUCCCAUACGGUAUCUUCCUGAUGAAGUUGAUCAUACAGGAACCAAUUCGAAAUCGGAUGCCUCUCCGAAUGAGACGCAGAAAAGUAUCCAGAGAGACAUCAAUGGAGACUGUCCCGUUUGCUACGAAGCAAUGGCUGGCGAUGACAACAAACCUGUAGAACCGAUUAUCUUUUGCAAGUCCUGUGGCAAUAACGUGCAUCGUGACUGCUUCGAUAGAUGGAGCGGUAGCAAACGGAGCACGGGAGGCAGAGUAACCUGCAUAUAUUGCAGAGCCGACUGGCUUGAUAUCGGAAGUAAGAAUAGCCAGAAUGUGGGCAUUGAUCGUGGUGGUUAUGUAAACCUGGCCUCGUACUCUGAGGGCCAUGUUAAUCAAGACACAAGCCUGGAAUCAUUGUAUCCUAACAGCUUGGAAUGGUUGGAUUCUCACAACAGGUGACAUUCCAGAAAAGGUUGCCUUUUACCUUGUGGGGUUGUUCCAACUGUAAGUCUCUGUUCGAAUCCUUUUCGGCGUUAUGAGAAGUGGACAAGUUUACACACAGUUCUGCCUGGAAGUUGAUUGAUUGGUGGGGGUUACUGGCGUGUGACUUGUGACGUUAAAUUUCCCGGCAUUAUUGGUGGUGUAAAAAGUCACAUUAGUGGUGUUGUAAAAAGACUGGAUAAACAAUUUUUUGUACUGGUUAUUAGAAGUAGUAGUUUUAUAUUAGUCGAGUUUGGAACCACUUGUCAAAAAAUAAAUGGAUGUAGUUAUGAACAAAUAAACUGAAUGGAAUAAAACACAAUUGUUACAAGUAAAUAAGAUCGAACAUGUUCUUAAAUUCCAGAUCUUUUAUUUUAUUUUUUAUUUUAUUUUUUCUAGUUUAUAGGAAGGUUUUGAGAGAACAUAGGAAAAGUGAAUCAAUUUUCUAUUAAAAGAAUUGGCCUUUGAUUAAUAUAAAAAAAGGGUAAAACGAAAAAAUAAACGACAAAAUUUAAGUCAUGUUUUUCAAUUUGUUAGUGCAAAUUCAGAGUACAACGUAUAAUUUUACAAUAAUUUACAUUAAUUUAUUUUUUGACUAGCAUAGAAUAUAUAUAUAUAUAUAUAUAUAUAUAUAUAUAGAUAGAUAGAUAAGUGUGUGUGUAAAUUGCACGUUGUGCAUAUUUCAAUAUAACUUGAUUAAUUUCAAAAUAAUACAAAACGAUUCAAAAUUUGUAACACAAUACAGCUUGAUUUUUUAUUUUUUAUUUUUUGGGGUGGUAUAUGGAUAUAAAUAAGAGUCUUCAUUUAAGCCUCUUCAUGUUAAAUUUUUGUAUUUAAGAAUCAAUAAUAGCCUGAUUUAGCUGUAAUAACACUUGAGUAAUAUUUCCAAGAAAUAGGCAAAUAACCUGUAAAUCUUAAAAGUACUUUAGUAUAAAUAUAAAAACUGUAGAAGAUUUAUAUAUGUGUAUACUUAUAUAUAUAUAUACUUUAGUAUAUAUAUAUAUACUUUAGUGUAUAUGUAUAUACUUUAGUGUAUAUAUAUACUUUAGUAUAUAUGUAUAUACUUUAGUAUAUAAUAAUAUACUAAAGUAUAUAUGUAUAUACUUUAGUAUAUAAUAAUAUACUAAAGUAUAUACAUAUAUAAAUAUAAAAACUGUAGAAGAUUGAUUCUAGAAAUAAGUAGCUAUAAAAAUUGGUUAAACUAAAAAAUAAUAAUUCAUACUUACCCUGGUUCCAUUUAUUUCGAGAAUAUUUUUCAUCCACAUUUUUUCCGUUCAGGCAACCCCUUCAUGCCGCAUAUUAGGGGGCAACGGUCGGCGGAAUAUUCUUUAUAAUCCAACAAUCAUCCUCAAAUCAUCCACGCAAAUCACGCGUCGAACAUUCCAGACGCCGAUGUCCACAUCGACGUUCCCGAACCCAAAAUCCGUUCCCGAUUUCAAAAAGUCGUUCCCGCCUUCAACCACUCCGCAAGCGCCAUUUUAGCAUCCUGAUAGACUUCGUGGGGGGAGCAACGAACGAACGAGUCAUUGCGUUCGUCCGACUGGGAUUAUCGUCGGACAGAAUCCCGUCAGCUCGGCCUCACGUUGACGUAUCGGCCACCGUCUGUUGCAGAAUCGCCGCAUCCGGCACCUUUCGUUCCGGCCAAUACGUGCCGUGCACAAUUUCCAUCCACGCCUCACAAAGGAUUGUUUCGCAACCGCGUAAGGCCCUUUUUUUAGGGGUGAGAUUUCUGGCGGAAAAGAUGGAGAGCGGAGUGUCUUUCCAUCCACGACUUGGAUGGAGGAGGCUAUAAACAUGCUCAGUUCCAAAGAGCACUUCUUUGAGAGGGUGGUGAGGUCUCGCUCUCCUCCGUGUCUGUUCACUCGACGGUAGGCCGUUCCUCCGGCGGAGUUUCGUGAAGGAGCUGUUGCGCAAGCAGCGGUGACUUGUUUCUGUUGUUCUUCUCGUCGUUUUUUUUAUAUUUUGUUACUGGGCUGUUAUUUUUGUUGUUAACCAUCGUUCCGUUCUUGUUUUCGUAUUUUUUUUUAUUUGUGAGUCUUGAAGAUUUCGUGGAUUAGGGUUUGAAGUGAUUUGGUGUAGAUGGAGAUAUAGUGGUGUGGCGUUCUGCAGGGGCAGACAGGGGCAAGUGCUUUGGGUGUCCACGUUUCGUUGUGGGUAGUGCUCGCAGGAGGUUCUUUUUGCAAGUUUACGAAGAUGCCGGGCCUUGUGACCAUGAAACCCGUGUUGAAGUCUAGGGGCUCUGCCUCCAAGGCCUUGUCUAGGGCCAAGGAGGAGAGAGGCCUGGGGGCUCUGCUUUCUCAGAUUCGUGUCUCUCCUGCGAAGAAGGGCCGCUGGUCAGUUGAUCCAGAAGCUUUAGGUGUUCUUACUAGGUCGAAUCUCGCGAUGAAGCUGAGGAUGAAGCUGCUUGGAGAAGGAGCAGAAGGGGAGACUGUUAACGAGGAGGUUGAUACUUCUGGAGGCAAGCACGAGCCGAGCUCUGUGUGCCUAGCGGCAAUGGUGGACGAGUUUUUGGAAGACGAUGAUUUCGAGGGUAGCCGUGGUCGUUGUCGUUUGAGCUUUGACGAUGAGCCUAGAAAUAACGACGACGAUUCAAGGUCAUCCCUUGUAGACGAACUCAUUGCCGUACUCCACAGCAGCGCUGACAACAUACCGGAGAGGAUUGUUUUUUGUGAGGUCAGCAACUUCAUCUCCAUCACUAAGCCUGGAUUGAAUUCCGGUGAUGGUGUGAUGAGUUCUCUCAAGCGUCAGGUUAUGAGGUACUUGCGUCGUGCCGGUUACAAUGCUGGUCUCUGUAAGUCCAGAUGGGAUCACUCAGGGGGGUUUCCGGGUGGCGACUACGAAUACAUUGACGUCGUAUUCGAAAGUCCAACCGGACGAUUCGAGCGGAUUUUGAUCGACAUUGACCUAAGAGCCCAGUUUGAGAUUGCCCGUCCAACUGCCCAGUACGACAGCCUUGUGCAAGCUUUACCAUCCAUUUUCGUCGGCAGGGCCGAACAGCUUCAUUGGAUUGUUAACGUUAUGUCUGAUGCCGUCAAGCUGUCGUUGAAGAAACGUGGAAUGCAUUUACCACCAUGGAGGAGGCCUGAGUACAUGCGAGCCAAGUGGUUCUCUUCUUACAAUCGGACUACGAGUGACAUCUGGGAUAAGCCCACCGAGAGUGAGUUGCCACAUGGUUCUGUUGCCUCUGCGAGUGGAUAUGGAUGCCAUAAUACGGACUUGGUGGCAAGAGUCGCGGAGUUCCCGAGGCCAGUGGAGAAACCUGUUGGGGAAGUAACGAACACAACCGAGAACAGGUUUGACGCUGGUGGGGAGACCCAGAAGACUGCCGGUUCUGUUGAUAACAACGACUGGAAUCCUCCAGUGUUGAAAGCAAAGAAACUUCAGGCUCCUGGGCUUGCGUCGAUGUUCAGGGAGGGCAGUCUUUCGGCCUCAAUGAAGAACAUGAGGGCCUCAGAACGGAAGGAUCUGGUGAUGGUGGCAUAAGAAGUAGAUUUGCUCCAUCUUCGAAGACUAUCAAUUUUGAAAGCACACUUAUUCUUUUUUCAUUUGUACAAUACACCUUCGUGCUUGAUGUGCGGUGCCGGUUUACACAUCCCCAUCGAAGGUGAUACAUUUUGAUGAAGGCUACGCUGUUGAGUUAUAGUUUGUGCGAGAUAUUUAGAAUAUUGAGAAAAAAACAUAUAUAUACAGAAAAAACGUCGGCAAUUCAUGGGAUGGUAGCCCUACUGCCCAGUUAGGGCCGUCCCGCCAAAGAAAGAGUUUAGAGUUGUGUUCCUUUUUUGUUGAGUUUGUGGAACUAUUAAUUCCACUAGAGUUUUGUGAGUGUUACAUUUUUGUAGUGUGGGCGGUGUACAGAGUAUGGUUGGACACGUUGAAUUUGCCUUAAGAAGCGGGUCGAAGAAGCAGGGCUCGAGUUACGCAGGUUACUGAGUCGGGAGUUUAGUUGGGCUUUGAAGCUGCUUGAUAUGCAGUGCUGAUUAUUGAGAUUGGAAAAAAUUUCAAAACAAUAUAAGUUAUGGGAGAAUAAAGCAGUCAAUGCUAUAUGUUGUUUUUGUGCAUCGUGAUAUGUUGUGUUUACAGCUGGUGUCUUUCUUUUCACGCUCUUCUAAGCGUCAAUUUGGUUUUGUUGGGGGGAGCAGUUAUUUCAUCACGUGCAUUAUAUGCUCCGAUUUUCUUUGUACUGACUCUGACUAUCAGCCACUACUUGAGUGGCAAAUGUGCAGUUGGUGCGUCGAUACGAUUUUACCGAAUGAAAGGAAAUUUUCAAGUGCUAUCACUUGAAUGAGCGUCAACCUCUCCGAAAUGCAGAAAUAACAUUAUCCACACUUCGGAUGUGUUGCGAUGGAUGAACGAGCGGAGCAGCGCUCAUUUUUUCCGGAAACCAAGUUCCACCACCAUAUAUAAGUCCACAAAGAGCAAUAGAAAUUUGUCUUCCUACAGAGACACAACUUCAGAUGGAGUGAAAAAAGGUAAAUAGAAGUGUUUCUCAUAUCAAGGAAUAGACAAGCCUCAAGCAUUGAGCGAGAUUGUAAGACACACUUUCGCUUCCUUUCCGUCUCGUGCAGGGCACGUAAUCUGUAUGGUGGAAUCGAUUAAUGAACAACAAUAAUAAAUACAGCUUCUGAAAGUUGAGACUCAAUUCGAGUGUCGAAAGCUUCCCACUGAACACCACCAGAUUAUCGCUUAAUAGUGAAUAUCCAUCAGGAUAGAAGUGAAACGAAAGCUCAUUUCUUCUCAACCCUGAGAGUCGAACUUCCUUCUCUCCAGCGCCAUGCUGACCACUGAGAAAACGUGAAAAUUAAACCACACAAGGAAAAAACAACAACAAACGAAGCAAAAGUGAGGAAAAGAAAAGAAAAUGCGAUAAAAUACAAGACCCUCUUCCACUGCUUUGUAUCCCGAAUGUGGAGUCUGCUGCUGCUGCUAAAUGCACAUUAAAAAAAAGACUGAAAUGUAGAUGAGAAAAUAUGACUGAAUAUAUAUAUAUGUAUAUAUAUAUAUAUAUUUAUGUGGGUGUGUGUUAAUAUUGAACCUGGCAUAUCCUUCAUAGAUUCCAAAAGUUAGGCGCACUUGAAGAAUUAGCAUAACUCUCACCCUGAGAGCCUAACAAAUCACUUCGCUUGCAUGUCUCCUUUUCAAUGCAUUAAAAUUCACUGGCAUGAGCAGUACCCACCAACCGGAUACCUCACUGGUUGUGAGCGCUGAGGCGCCGCAUUGCCUCUCCAUAAACGCCGUUCCAUUGCUACCAUAUCUUCUCUUUUCCGAAGCCACAAACUGGUGCGCUUCUGUAUUUUUCUUACUAAAAUCUUCUAUAAUCACACACUUCCACAUCCGGCACUAAUCUGGGCUGCUCUGAGACUCUGCUUAUCGUGCCUGUAAGCAUGCUUUUUGCUCUUGGCUUGAGCCACAAUUUGUGGGUCUGCUUACUUGGGCCCCUUCUCUUAUUCACUUUUCUUCACAACUCUCGACUGCGUCUCAGUUAGUUGUAUCAAGACAAUUCCUCAUGCUGUCUGUGUUAAACGGCUUCAGUGCGAUGACUCCACUCACGCAGAGUAGUUUGAACAUCGUUUUGAACUCUGUGCGUUCGGUGUCUGAUCGUGCAUGCACGACUGCCGCUGUAGCCAGCCGUCGAACUUAUCCUUAAUCCAACAGUGUGCUCGUGGGAAUACCAACAUCUGCUUCGAACCAGAAGUUGUUGCCAACUUGAGUUUCCGAUCAAACUGACCACAGUCCUCUAGGACGUGCAGCGCUUCGGUGCCAAGCUCUGCGAGCGGGACCUUCUUGGUGCAGAGCAAAGCCUGCUGGAUGCUGGUUGAGCAGAUGGGGUUGAAUCCUAAGGUGGUUGUGAAUGACUCUUCGAAGUAGAGCAUUGAGGUGUUUGCUGAAUCAUGCCGCAGGAAUGACACUGCGCCAACUCAGGCUUCGAAGUUGCUCAUGAUCAUGUUGACGGAUAGAGAGCUGUAGAAACCAUCGCGGCUCAUUUGAUAGACUAAUAAUGAGUUCUUGCGAUAUUUUCAUUUCACUUUGGGUUAGCUUGGCAUUCACGUCGGAAUAGAGCACUGCGAAUUUGCAACACCGCCGUCACAGAAAUGUUGAUUGAUUCUCCAUUUCAUAGAGUCAAAUAUCAGUGCCGAAUCGCAUGUUAUAUUGACCUUUAGUUCCAGCUUCACCCACUUUACGAUGACGAUAAUACAAGGUUUACAGUCUUCAGCUAGCUGCAUGAUGGCCAGUUGUUACGGAGGUGAGUAAGUUCAAAACAAAGCGAUCUAGAUUUGUAAACUCUCUUCCAAGUCAUUUCACCACCGUUAAAGUUAGGACUCAAUCCUAUUGAAGUGCGAUAUUAUUGCAGAAGUUUCUAGUCUGCAGUUGCAUUCAUCGGGGAUCUCGCCUGACAUCCACGAAUCGAUGGAUGCAGGCGCUUUAGAGUUGUGAAAUGACUGGGAGUAGAUCCGUCGACUUGUUAUCCUUUACGUGGCCUUGAACGUGGUCGACAUGAGAAACCAACCAUCGUUAGAUUCACGUAGAGAGACACCUCCACCGCGGACUUAAAACUCUUCAUAUGCCUCUAAACUUCCCAAGUUCAUCAGCGUUGUUAGAAACAGCAUUUGUUCGCAGUUUGCUCUGGGAAGUAUACGCUUAGAAGCAAACCACUACGAAACACGGUGGUAUAUCCUUACCGACGUAGAGAAACCAAAUAAUGUCGCAAGGGUCACACUCAUUCUUCCAUGCAGUUACUGUCACUCUCGCCUGCAGGUCAUAAAUUCGAAGGUGCCGCAGAAUAUAACCAAUUCUGGAGACUGUGAUAGGUCUGCGGUUCUAAACCAACCAAACUCUGGUUCUCAACAGAAUAUCCGUUCAUGUCAAGGACCAAACUGUUGUGCAAGACUAUCAUGUCACACUGACCGUAUUGCGAUAAGUUGGUGUCUCAUCCAGUUUUUCUGAAGAACAAAAUAUACUUGCCCUGUGGGUACCUGAUGACAACAGUUCGUCGCUGACUAGAUAAAAGUCACGAAGUCUGCAAUCUUUUGUACAAAACCACGUUGAAGAGGACGAUGGGUUUUGUAGACAUGAUCCAUUACAAGGCCUUGAACUUGCUGUAAUGUUCAGAACUUUAACAAGUUGUCUCAAAGGCGAUGGAUUUGGUUCAGAGUAUGUAGAAUAGACGGCUGUUACCGACGAGGUUUUUAUUUUUAUUUUUUCUGUAGUUUUGGCAUCUAGGCAAUGUUACUCCAGAAAACUAAUGCAAUCGAGGGGUUGUAAUGAAGUCGUUUCUUUUCUGCUCGAUGAGCGUUGCGUAAUUCGAUCGAAUCGACAAGCGUGCAGUCCUUAUGUAUGGGCCUGUUGCAACAGAAGAGAAAGCUUCCAAAUCUACUGCAGCUCACUUGUUGAACUAUAAGCUUUGUUCACAAAACCCUAAGAACUAGACCCCCUCGCAGAACGACCACCACAUCAGUGAUCCAGUGGUGCACUUUCAAAUGAUCUAGUAUAUUCAUGAAUCGUUUGAACGCUUGGAAUGUUUAGACGCUUCAACCCCGACUUCAGGUGACCUUUUGCAUGACUUCACAAGGUGAGACUUCCACCAGCGUCGAUCUCAUAUAUCUAUCUACCGUCUCACCUUUCCACAACCUGAAACGCACAUAGAAAGCUUUGCAUUCUACAUAACUGAUCAGUCACCAAAACAUGAAGUUCAGUGUUUGAGAUCAGGCACAGAUCCGAUGCUUCAACCAUCUAGAACCUCAAAAAAACUCGUGAACCCCACGUUUGCGUUGCCAUGUGGGUUGCGACCAAGGCGCUAGAAACUGGGUUUGGAGGCAAGUUGCAAGGAUCUGAGACUUCACACCAUACCCCCAACUGUUGGAAAACCUCGGAAUGUGUGCAACUUGCUGAACUGACAACAGCUGUAAAAUAAAAAAUCCAAGCAGAAGAAGAAAAAGAAUAAACCACAGUUUGGGUGCAUGUGAUAUGAGGGUAGAGAGUUGCCGAAGACCAUGCAAAAGAAUAGAAAAGGGGGUGUGGAUAUUUGUUUAUUUGGAUAUUUGACUAGUCCUCAUGCAAUGCAACGAAGACUAUGACAGUUGAACUGUUUUAUUUUUCUGUCACUGACACUGCAGGAGGGCAUGGGAGUUAGUGAGUUGUAGAGGGCUGUGAUUUUGAAUACUUCUACUAUUAUUAUUAUUAUUAUUAUUUUUCUCUACCAUGCACCCAGCAUCUGAUUCAUCACCCCCUGCUUCUUCUGCUUCUUCUUCUGCUACUUCUACAGUCUUGAAGUUUGGGUUGUUUUUAUUGUUUGUUUGUUUAGUUGGGUGUUCUGAUGCCUCUUGUAAGGGAUGUAGAUUCUAUGGAUUUGAAUUAUGUGUGUGUGUGAGUGUAUAUAUAUAUAUAUAUAUAUAUCUCUAGGGGAGGUGUGCAUUUAUGUAGCUGUGGUUGCUGAAAUGAAUUGGAUUUUUUUUGUGAAUCAGGUAAACAUGAACUUAUGUGGGUGCUUUUUAUUUUUACUUGACAGUUUUGCAAUGAGAUAAAUAUAGAACCUACUGAGUUAUGAUUAAAAAUAAAAUAAAAAUAAAUAAAACUUAAAAACUUAAAAUUUUAUCCUUCAUUUGCAAUUUUACAUUUGUUUUGGGGAUUUUUUAAAAACAUUAUUUCAAUCUUGUUCAAUCCUUUUCAAUUAAACUAACUUAACAAUAAUAAAUAUAAUUAUAAAACUUAAAUUAGUCUUUUAUAACAUACAAUCAAAGACCAUCUUAUCAAGUCUUGAAAUAUAACCGACAAAACUAUAAAUUACAAAAGAUUCUUUUACUUCAAGCCUCUAUGAAUAUCCUCAUGUCUAACUAUAAUUUUUUGAAAAUCAUUUUAACCUAAUUACAUCAUGUCCUUAACAAAGAAUUUAAAUUUUAUGAAUUAGAAUUUAUUCUUUAUAAAUUUCAACAUUUUUAUUGAAUUUAACUUUACUUGACACCAAAAAUUUGAAUAAAAGUAUAUUUUAUUUAAAAACGCUCAAAUUAAAUUUCAUCAAAGUAGUUAACAAUUUAAGAAAUCAUCUAAUUUUUGUUACAUACAUACACAUAACAAUUUUUUAGAUUAGUUAAAUAAAUGUCAAGAAAAGUGUUUUUUUAAUAGUAAAACUACAUAUGUACAUAAAACAAGUUUUAGAAUGAUUUUAGGAAUGUAGAAUCAAAAAAAUUGCCAAAGGACUUAUCAAAUAAAAAUCAUUCUUGUAACCACAAAUUGGUAUUAAAAUAACCAUAUUUACUUGGGAUGUGGCUACUAAUGUAUUUACCUUGUAAUUGAUACAUGCUAUUGUCCAUAAAGCAAGUUCCUAAAUUAUAAGGCUCAAACUUAUUAGUUAAAUAUUUAACAUGUUUCAAAAUAUAUAUAUAUAUAUAUCUUUUUUUGUAUUCAUAAAUGAAUUUUUAUAGGAUUCGUUAAAAGUGCAUUCAUCUAUUCACAAUUUAAAAUCUAUAUAUAUAUAUAUAUAUAUAUAUUUACUCUGUAUGAAAUAAAAUAAUAUUUUUUAAAACAAUUUAUUGUAAAGGAACGAAAAUACGAAUUUAAUUACACAACAUAACUUCACACAAACCCAACAAGCUGGUAUUAUUUGACAGCAUUGGAGUUAAUUUGGUUAAAUUUAGAUGCUUUCUGAUAUCUUCUUUUAAUGUUGUAAUCUUAUCAACAAUUAUUUCGAUUAUUCGUAAUAAUUUAUAAAUAAUUAAAUUAAAAAAUAACCAUCCUUAAGUUAAUAGCAAGUUUUUUUUAUUAUGGCUAGUUUUACAAUAAACAAUUAAACCAUAUAAUCAAACAUUCGAGUUAAAAGAAAUUCUUAGAUAACUUUUUAUUUUUUAUUUUUCUUAAAACCCCCUUUCACAAAAUAUUCUGAUCAGAAAAACGUUGCUAAUGUAUCACAAAAUUCAUUAAUGAAAUAUUUUAUUUAAUGAAAAUUUAUAUAACUAAGAACUUUUCUCAAGGAUUCAUCAAAUGCAGAUUGUCAACAUGUACACAAUGAUAUGAAAAAGCAAAUGCUACAUUUCAAUAAUUCAAGUCUUACUGUAAACUUUGAAUGUGAUGCCUCCCAUUUCAUUCUAUUUUAAAAUUUUUAAUAACUCUCACCAUUAUUGGUCUAUGUCAUGUCAAAACACCAAACCUAUGAUACUUUUGUCCACACUUGAUCUCACAUCUAAAUCUUUAAUUUAUAUAUAUAUAUAUAUAUAUAUAUAUAUUCACAUUCUUAUUCUAUUUUUCAUCUUUUUAAAAGACAAAUAAGUUGUGGAUUGGUACAUAAGACUAGUGAUGGAGAAGUGUUUUGCAUACAUGCAAAGAUGUCUCAUAUCCACAGCCUUGGUUUUGUCCCUUAUUGCCCCUCUUUGUAUGCCAAAAUCACGGUGGGACUGUAAUCACACAAUUGGAAUAUGAGAAUGGAAUGUGUCAUGUGGUUAAAAAAAAACAAAGAAAGAAAAAGGGACCCAUUUGUAAGCACUAGAUGUUUUCAUUGUCUCUAUGAGGUGAUAAAUAUAUGGAUGGAUGUGGAUAAUAAUGCUUUUUUUUUUUUUAUUUAUUUUUUAUUUUUUUUUAAGAAAAGGUUAUGAAGAUUUUGGUGUGUGACAUUUGACUUUGGUUUUGAUUUUUAAAAGAGCAUCUUCACCUCCUUCUCAAAUUUUUAGUUAUUUCAUGAGUCUUGGGUUUCUUGCAUUGCAUUUCUGAUGUCUUGCAAUACAUUAUUUAUGGAAUUGAGGUUAUUGUUUCGUUUAAGCAAAAGUCUCAAAAGAGUCAAAUAGGGAUUGUAUAAUUAUUACAAUUAAUCUUUUGUGACUUUCUAGCCUUGCAUCAUUAAAGCAAAUUUUAUAUAUUUUUUUUCUAAGUUGAGUUGUGCUAGAUUGCAGGGUGGGAUCUUUUGGUAUGACCUAAUCAAAUUACCCUAAGCUUGUUUAUGGUAUCUCAGAUUUUAACGUGCUUAAAUUUGAUUCCAAUAUAAUACAUGAUUUUUAGAAUAAGUUAUAGGUAAACAUUAAAAAUUAAAAAGAUAUAUUUUUUUUUAAAAUCUUUCAACAUGAUUCAUGAACGAGAGCUAAGUUCAUUGUAUUUAAUACUCUUCAUAGUUUUGAAAUAGAAAUAGCAAUACUUUUUAUUCAGCAGAUACUUAAAAAUUAGAAAUUAUUAUUUUCAUUAUUAUUAUUCACCAUGUCACUUAACAAAAAUCGAUUAACAUUUUUUAUUUUGAAAGUACAUACAUACACAUGUGCACCGAAUUGAUUCAUUCAAAAUUUAAUGGAAAAGAAUGGUGAUCCAUAACAAAUGAACCGCAUCAAACAAAAAAAAAAAAAAAAAAAAAAAAGUGUAUAUUUGCAUUCCUCUUUUAUUUUAUUUUCUUUUCUUCCCAUAAAGAAACAAAUUCGGUUAAAAAAAAGGCUUCAGACUCUGAUUUUAAUUCUAAUUAUCCUCUCACAAUUACCAAAAUUUAUUUUGGAAAUGCUCAGAAAUUGCUUUAUCAAAUAGUAAGGAUGGCAAGUGGCUUUAAAAAAAGAAGAAACAAAGAAUCAUAUCACCCCAAAAGAAUCAAUAUCCAAAAUCCCAAAUAUAAAAUUUAAAAUAUUAAAAUAAAAACCAACAUAAAAAAUGGGGUUGUAGUUUCAAGUAAUAAAAAUAAUGAGGAAUGUGAUGGAGUGAAACACCUACUCUCUCAAGUUAAUUAAUGCUUUUGGUGGUCAAAGUGUCAUCGAGAGCCAAUGAAUGAGCAAAGCACAAAACCUAAAACACUUUGGUAGGCAAAAAUAAACUUCAUUUACUAUUUAUUAUUAUUGUUAUUUGUUAUUAUUUUUGUUUUAUAAUUGGUCAAAUGGAGCACACAAGAAUGUAGUUGGGUACCAUACCAAAGCCCCACCCACACAAAUGAGCUUUUGUUAUUCAAAUCCCACACCAACCUCACUUAAUGAAACCAUCUUCCAUACUUCCUCCUCCCAAUGCCAAUAUGAGUCUUUACUAGGGCCUCAAGUAAAAUGGUGACCAAAGUAACAUUCAUUUGUGGUGGAAGAUUUGAUUUUUAUUCUUUACUUAUAUGCAUUAGACAUAAAAUAGGGUUGGUUGUGUGAGAUGAGGGAAUGGGAUUCGUUGAAAUGGGUGAUAAGUUUUAUUGGAGUUGCACUAUUUUAGAUGAAGGAUUUGUGUCGUUAAAGUUGAACAAAUCUUUAUCCAAAGUCAGAAAAUCAUGGUUUCUUUCUUUAGGUGAAUAUCACGCUGCAAUCCCGGUGUAAAGCAUUCGUCUUCAUGGUCAAUAAUAAAUAAGGUUUGCCUUAUUGAAAAUUCUUAGAAUUUAGUGGAAUUUAACGGAUGUAAUCAUCAUGUCUUGUAUACAAAUUAACCCUAAAAAUCCAACGUAUGUUCAAAGAAGUACAACCUCAACUGCAAAUUGGUGGUCCAUUCGUAGUAUUUCGCAACAAGGUUUUUUUUUUUACAUUUUUUUAAAUUUUAUUUUUAGUUUUAUUUUUGUAGUUUUGUUCACAAGAUCCAAAUUCUAGACUGAGAAUUGAAGGUGACGUGGACAAAGAUAUGAACAAACCCUAAAUCCGGCCACCACGACACGCAACGAAGCCCUCACUCACUUCGCACGGCGUGCAAACCUGCCAGACGGAUUUCAGUAGCGCGAUGGCAAGCUCGACGAGAUUGAAAUCAACUCAGAGGCAUAGAAUUCGCGACCCCAUCCGCCAUCGCCACGAACCCUCUCCUUAUCGACCAAGAGAUCACUCCCGAGGUCGCCAAGUUUCGAGAGCGAAGUGGCCCACACAGAGUCAACAGCAACUCCCUCGUAGUAAGUAGGUAAUGUGUGCGUGUGUGUGUGAGAGAGAGAGAGAGAGAGAGAGAAUUGCCCUUUUCUUCUUCUUCGUCCCGAGUUGCGGAAAGGGGAGACACCGCCUCGCCACGCCUCCCAGAGCACUUCGUCAUGGCUGCGAAACCCUAAUCCUAGAGCACACCACAUGGCGAGAAUAAAACAAGCGGGGGACGAAUCCCAGUCGCGAGGGGGGGGGGGCUCUAUCGACGUGGCAAGUUCCACGGCCACGGACCCAGUAGUGGGUCGGCCAUAGGUUCACGGCCAUUUGUCCCACACGGCCACGAGUCCGUGCGAGAUAUGCGAUGGACACCUGUACUUUACAUCAGGAUCGGUAUGUGUGCAGUGAUUGGUGGAAAAUAUUGGAUGAAUAGUGGACUAAUGGACGAAUGUCGGGUAGUGAUGAUUAUGGGUCGUCGUUCAUGCUUGAUGAUCCCUGGGACUAUUUUGGUUAUACUUUUUGGGGAACUUUUUGUGGGGAACUUUGCGAGGAAGCCUUUAUAUUUUGUAAAAUUCGAAAUAUUUAUUUUGGCCGCGGAAACUGGUGGGGCUCGCAAAAGACCGUGGCUUGGUACUUGAGACCAAAGUAUCUGAUCUAUUCACCCUCUCCUUGUAAGGUCACUUUCCCUUGAGGGGUGCUGGGGCCCAUUUAAAAAAACCCUCCCGAACUGGUAAAUAUGUUAAUAACAAUAAUCUAAAAUAAGUCCAUUCCGCUGCUUAGGACUGAAGCUUGGGACCUAUGGCAGAGGACAACUUGGAAGGGGGUGAGUGGAUCCCCACAAUUACCCGGACAUGUGGAUUUUACUUGCCGUUCAUAGAGGGAAUAAAUAUAAUUGACCCAGUCAUUCCUAGAGGGAAUAAAUAUGAUUGAUCCAGUGCGCGUGACAUGUUUCGAACCCGCGUGAUGAAGGUUGGGAGGAAUAGAAUCUCCAACGUGGCGGGAAAAAGAUGGGGCCGGGGGAGGAGUGAUUAACGAUGGUCUGGCUGUGGUAGAUAUCAGGGACGGGGAAGUGAAACCGCGCGGAGGGAGUUACUGCAGAAAUAUCUGCAAAAGGGCCUCGUACUUUUGCGGCAUUCACAAUCAGCAGAAGCCCCCAGAAGACGCCACGUUUUGCCGUGGGCGGCUCCCACCGCCCAACACGUUGCGGCCCCUCUGCGUUGGUUUCAUGCCUUCCAGGUCGCUUCGUCCGUCCGCCCGUUCUUUUCGUUCGUCCGUCGCGACUCUCACACGUUGCCCUUUGUUUCUCUCCCAGUAUAAACCAUAAAUACGACCCAGAUUUUGUCUCUGGAUCCCUUCCCGGCGAAACUAAGCCUGUAGUUGCUCUUCGAAAUCCACAACCUUCUACUUCUUCUUCGUCCAGUGGAGGUCAUCGCAACUAAGGUUGUACCACCAUUCUGUGCACAGUCAUUGCGUACUUCUGUGGCGAGGUCCGUGCAACAGCAGCUGAAUCCGUUGUUGAAUCGAGCGUGAGUGUGACAUAAGUGAUUCACUUGGGUGGGGUACACGCGCUCGGGAAGAGAGUGAAGUGAGAGGAGAGGAGAGUAGAGAAGAGGGGAGGAGGAUUUUUUUUUUUUUCUAUAUGAUUAUCGAGGAUUUAGUGGGUUUGUUGUUGUUGAAUUUCCAGGCGAUUUGGAAUGUGGUGGAUAGAGCUGGAUUGGGUUUUUUGAGUAGUGGUGAUCUAGGACCGAGGGGUGUGAGGAUUUCAGAAGUUUCUGGAAUUUUACUGGGUGGGGUGGUCGAACUGUGUCAUCGAUUGAGGUAGUUGUGUAUCGUGAGCUUGGGAGAUUGGGUGUGUAGUUUUGGUAGGUGUGGGUCGAGCGCUCCAAGCAGUGUGCGGGGUAGGAGUCUCUCGAUGGUUUCCCAAGUGUAGUGACGUUUUGUUGGGCCGAUAUCAGUUGCCAAGCUGCAGCGAUCGGUGGUUUUUGUCCCGCUGAAGAGGAUUCGAUUGCGACUUCGAAGAUGCUGUCGGCAGUCCUUCAGGAAUUCGAAUUCUGACAGCAUUGUGCCUUCGCGCGAGGAAUUCCCGUUCCUGCGGAAUGCCACUGGUGUCUGCAGAUGAAUUUGCCUUGAACUCGUGAAGUUCCUCUAGUAUCAAUUGACAAGAGUUCCGAGUCAGUUGGGGACGAAGUAACCCGAGAAAACCAGUCCUCAAUUGUAACAUAGAUUUUUCCUGAUCGUCGGCGUCUCCUUAUCAGCCUUGUCAGUGUAUCGAAUUUCUCGCAUUGACCUCAGAUUUCACAGUCUCGACCUUUUCGAUGAUCCAGCUUUCUACCAUCCUAUCGCCUUUUCGCAGUUGGUGCAGGGUCUUGCAAAGAUUGCAGCACAGGCUCUCAUUCUUUAGACCAAACGAAGGUGUCAGUUCCAGUGGUCGUAUUAAAUUCCUGUAAGCUAUCAGGUAGGACUGUCUCCUCGUUCCAAACCCAGUUCGCCGAAGGGACGGAGUUUUAUUACUGUCGCGAUCGUUCUCUACAUUCCGAGGAGGUUUCGUUGACAUCCGGGAAAUUUCAUUCUGGAAACAUAUCUGGGUAGUAGCGAGAGAGAGAAAUGAGCACAAAUUUUGAGUACACAGAGGGUUUGACAGUGCUCUUUGUCCAACACAGUAUACCACUACCACUAAGAAGGCUCAAAACUGAAACAAUUCUGCCAAUUCGUUCAUGAAGGAGAUUCUUAUCGAGGAGAAAUUCGCUCACAUCGAAAGUCUCCGAAAUCACGGUUGAAGAAGACCUGUUCGUGCUCGAUGGUUGAUCCGGACCGCAGACCAGACCGCGAUACGCGUUGGUGGAUGUACUGUCAACCUCACAUUCGCGCCCUUAGGGAAGUCAUGUACUCAGCCAACGCGAACAAAGAAGUGGAGAUACUCUUGCAGAAGUGUGUCUCCCUGUACAUGGCCACGAUCAACUAUAAUUCGUCGCUUGACGACGAGAAGAUUUACAUUGCUCUCACAGGUUGAACGAGUCGCCUGCUCUCAUUGCUAUCAUUUCUCUGUACCCUCUAGAAUGCGAUAUUUGUUCAGAACUUCACUCUUUUGUGCAAUCUGAUCAAUUUCACAUUAUUUCUCAGGAGGUUUCGUCACAAGUAUGGAGGCGUCCUUUAUGUGGAUCGGAGGAUGGCGUCCCACCACAGCUUUGCUGCUCGUCUACUCGCUGAUGGGUGUCCAACUGGAGGACGAGAUUCGCAACUUCGGCUAUGGUAUCCGGGACACGACGAAUACCUCGGCGGUCCUCUCCCACAGGCAGCUAGAGAACCUGACGAACGUACAAAAGAGCACCCGCAACGUGGAGAAGAAGCUCUCUAAAAAGCUGGCUCACCUUCAGGUAGAUCAUUCAACCUCGACACUCUCACCCCAAUGCCCAGUUAGACUUGGUCUUGCGGUCUUCAUAGAAUGGUUGCAGGCGAUCAGUUGCAGGCUAGGAUUUGGAAAUGGUAAUGGCAAUGAAAAUGAAAAAACUAGCAUUGGCACUGGGCUCUGGCACUGGUACUUGGUACUAUGAAUCUCUUCGUCCGCUGACGGUGGUGACGUCUUACACAUCACUGGGUAGGUGUAUACUAAAGGACGUGCUGACACACGUGCAGAUGCUUAUAAGCGACCAAGAUGUGCUUGCAGCCGUAAUGCAGGUAGAUUCAUCAACAAGUAGGUCAGGCUCCAAGGCUAACCCUGACAUAAGAACAGUCCUCAAGCCUCGAAUGUCGCGACUAAAGAAACUACUGAUACAGGCAGACCAACUGCGUUUACACACACUCCACCAGCUCUUUCUGGUUCUCACCCCAGUGCAAGUAGCUCGCUGCGCCAUAGCCUCAUUUGAAUUGGCGUUUAUGAUGCGUGAGCUCGGCAAUUCGGCUCACUGUAGGAAUUUACAAACUGCAGUCCCAUCUUCUUCUAACACAUUCACUUCCCAAAGUCAAGGCGACUUUGAUGUUCAAUCCUCUAGAACUUUGCCCUCGCGGCUGGAUACUGGCCCCAGCUGCAGCACUAAGGAUUCUGGCACUAGUGUAGAAGAGUGUAGUGUCGACGAUUGAUGUGUCUCAGUCUACAUUUAGAUCUAGGCAUAUAUAUAUAUAUAUAUAUAUAUAUACAUACAUAUCUAUCUAUCUAUAAAUGUAAAUGUAUAUGUGUGUGCGUAUGAUACGUAUUGGCUGCCAAGAGUUGCUCGUGUUUACAAGGGCCACUCUAUGCGAUAGUCUAACUCCUCAAAGUCGAUCUAUGUGCCAGCAAAGCCUGCAGUGAGUGCCAUUGCCGGUGCCGUCCUCUCUUCAUCAGAUUUUGGGAGUUGGAUCCCCCGGUGCGGUGCAGAUCGAUGCGAAGUCUGAGCCAGGCCGACUCCUAACGGGCCCAAACUUCUGGAAAGAGCUAGCUGCGGCAUUGUGAUGGUUAAAUCUACUCCUGGCGGCAAGAUCAUUUGAAGGAAGGCGAGAUGAGGGUAAGCAUUGUGAGGUUCCUAGUAGCAAUGUCUCGCCAUUUUGUUAGAUAUCUGGUGCAAAAUUAGAGAGAAAUCAUUUCUGUAACCUCACUGGUGCUUUACGUUCUGUCUAGAAUUUUAGUACAGGUAGCUUUCAGAUUUUGUUGAGCGGUGCAUUGGUUUUGCCGUAAUGAUGUGGGCAGUUUUCCCACAGCGUUAAGUUCAGCUUGCCGUAAAUGAUGGGGUCUUGUCUAGUCUUCACGAUAUCGUCAUUCCCCUCUACUUGAAAUUUUGGGUCAUUUGCAUUUACAUUUCUCAACACUUAGGAAGAGUACUUAUUCAUGUAUGAUUUAUGUGCCACACGGAAACACAACAUAUUUCUAUCCCCUCUUUCGAAAUCGAGGGCUAUUGUAUCCUUAGGGUCGCUCUAUUGAGAAGCCAUCUUCCUCCCUGCAAAAUGAUGCGCGGGUGAUGAUGACAAACUCUUGCAACUAUAUUGGCUAUGGUUCAGCUCUACAGGUACAGCUAAACAUCACAUGCUAAGGUGAUCGAAGAUGGUCAGCCUGGAGGCUGCUAGCAACGGCUGCCUGAACCCAUCGACAAAUGCUGAUGGAAGAACUUCUGUAUUUCGAUGGCAGUUACCUACCGAUAGUGGUGACAGUAGAUGGAUAUGAGGACAUUUACGAUUGAAUUCUUUAGUUUAUGAAGAAAAAGGACAAAAGGUCUUUAUACGAUCAAGGAGCGUAAAGAAAUGUCUCCUAUGCUCUUUUGUAUACCAUUCAGUUCUUCACACUGGUAAUAAACUUGUAAAAGUUCAUUCAACAGAUUCUUGGUUUCAUCGUGCUUAAUAGUGUGCUUAGAAAUUCCACUGCAUUGACGUCCUUCGUAGUUCAGCACAUCGGCACUGCAACAGAAAUUUAGGAUCAUGAUUUGAACACAAUCAGGCUCACAACAACUGAAAAGAAACAACACAAAAAUCUUAUUUCAUUUCUAAGCCUACUAAUCGGAUCUUAGAAUACCAUACUGAAGCACCACAUAACCACUGCAUUAGCCAAAUCCUAAUCCACUGAUUGAGCUCUACUACAUACGGAGCAAACGUUAAACUGGUUUUUCUCUUCACACACAUUUCUACACAAAAAUCAUCAUAACCAGGCUUUGAUUGGCUGUGACACUGGUUAUUUUCUAUCUACAACCCUGUUCACACUUUACGUUUUUUUUUUUUUUUUUUUUUUUUUUUUUUUCUUUUGUCUUUUGUCUUUUUUUUCACUCUAAAAAUUCUUAAUUUCAUUAAUUCCAACACGUAUGCUUGAAAAUAUUGAAAAUAAGGAAUGAAAUUAAGACAUUAUUAUUUUAAAACAAAGCAUCACUUGGAUAUUUACCACUCAAAAGGAAUAUCCCUAAAAGUUAAACAAGUAUAAUGUUCCAUUAACUAUUAUCCUUCAAUAUAAAAUAUACAAAUUAAGACAAUUUUGAAUGUAUAAAAAAGUUUUCUUUUUCUUUUUCUGAUUGUUAUCAUUUUCUUUAAAAUAAUAUUUUAAUCAAAUGUUUUACUGUAAUAAUAUUAUAAAAAUAUCAAAAAUACAUGAGACCAAAUAAUGAAUAUAAUAAUGAUAUAUUAAAUUUAUGUAUUUGAAUUAUAAGAUUGUACAUUUUAUAGCAAUAGUUUUAAUAAAUAAAAUGGAAUUUAAUAUAUUUAUAUAAAUAUAUAAAAUAAAAUAAAAUCUUUAAAGUAUACUAUUUAAAAAUGCCAUUUGGUUUAUGCAAAGAAGCAAGCAAACAAGAUUGAUCAAAUUUUGAUAAGUUAAGUUAGAAACAUGAUAGCCAUUCAAAACAUUACUUGAACUCAAUAUUCAUACAAAAAUUUAAUAUAUUUUUAUGUUAAAUUGUUACAUCUUUUAUUAAAUUUUAGAAAAAUAAUUAGAUGCCAUAUUUAAUAUGAUAUAUAUAUUCAAAAAUAUAUAUUUGAAUAUACAUAUUUAAAAAAUAUGUUUAUAAGAUUUAAAAUAUGAAACAUUUUUUAAAAGAAUAUUUUUUAGCAAUAGUAUAGUAACAAAUAAAACUUGUUAAGAUAUAAGAUAUUAAUCUAAAAUUGUAAUGAAAACAGUUUAAGCAAUUUGUAUAGAAUAAAUAAAUAAUUGGUCCAUCACAUAAAUGAAUAAUAUAAUAUAAAAGUCAUUUGCAAUAAUAAAAUUUAGCAAACUUGUAAUAAUGUUUUUGUAUAUGUUAUGUUGUUAUUGCCUAAACCACUCAAUUAUAUUAAAGUAAAUAAAAAAAAAAUAGUUAAAUUAGUUAGAUUAUAUUUUUAUCCAAGAAUAUUUUUUUUGACACACAUUGGAAUUUUAAUUAAGGAGUAGCACGUUUAUGUAUUCUUCAUGCUCGUCAUGACUUCCCAGCAACAUGAUAUUUUGGAUACAAUAAGACUUUGGAACCGAUAUCUAGGGAUUUUUGGUGGCCUCAAAUGUGGAAGGCAGUUAAAGAUUUUGUACAAUCAUGUGAUGUUUGCUCAAGAUCAAAAACUCCUUGUCAUCGACCUUUUGAACUUCUUCAGCCAUUACCCAUUUUAGAAUAACCAUGGUCUUCUGUUUCUAUGGACUUCAUCAUGGAUCUUCCAAUCUCAGGUUCUUAUGACUCUAUAUUCGUGAUAGUAGAUCAUUUUACCAAGAUGGUUUAUUUUGUAUCAUGUAUAAAAUCUAUCACACGUGAAGAAACAACUAAGCUCUUUCUUGACAAUAUCUAUCGCUAUCAUGGAUUAUGCAAGGAUAUUAUAUCAGAUAGGGGAACUCAAUUUGUAUCAAGAUUUUAGCGGAUUCUUUUCAAGAUUCUAAAAGUGGAUAUAAAACUAUCUUUCGCAUUCCAUCUUGAAACUGAUGGACAAACAGAGCAUAUUAAUCAAGUUUUGGAGCAAUAUUUAAGAUGUACUAUUAACUACCAACAAGAUGAUUGGACAACUCUUUUACCAUUGGCAAAGUUUGCUUACAAUAACACGGUGUCAUGUUGUAACAUGACUAUAUGGUAAAAGAUGAUAAUAUGGAUCUUAUUAUAGAAGAGCCAAGUUAAAAGAAAAGGUAGAAAAACAUGGAUAAAAGAUAGGAAGGUAGUAAAAAUUUUAAUAGUAAUGCUGUCUUUUUAGAAAAAAUAGCUUCUGCUUACUUUGUAGGACCAAAAAUAUGGCAAAAUAAGGUAGAUUGGAAAAAUAAAUAAUAUAGACAUCUUUAGGAAAAAGUUAAGAGUAAAUUUUAGUAAAAUUUACUAAAAAAAAACUAGAUGUUGAUAUGCGGAGAGGGCCGAUUAUGAAUUAGGAUCAAAAUCAGACCCUAAGGCACAAUACCGAGUCUCGACGACGACUUUAGGACUCUUUGGCAGAUUGGAGAGUGGAGUUUGAUAGCAAAUUGAAUAAGAUUUCUAUAGGUGUUGAUAUUAGGUGGUUUGGAGUUGUUAUGACUUUGUAAGAGCUUUGCAAAGUCAAGGUUUGUUUUGGACAACUUAGGUUUUAUGAAAUAAAAUAGGAUUUAUGUUUUGGGUGAUUUCGAGAGUUUUGUAGUAGAUCUAUGAGUGAAAUUUUGUGGAUUUUGAUUAUACUUGUGUUCAAUAUCUGUUGUGAAUUUGAACUCGAUCUAACGGUUGAAUUGAAGGAUAUUGAGGUUUAAGUGGAUCAAGGUCUCAAAAAGUAGAUUUUUUGGUCUAGUGAGGGUUUUUAAGAUUACUUGCAAUCUACUACUUGGAUUGGAGUUAAACUUAUGUGAGAGGAUAUUAGACUUAUUUUCCUAUGUGUAUAAGAAUUUUAAGAUCAAUCAAACGGUGAAAAGAAGAGAUAUUAGCUCUGGAAGAUUAGCAUCAAGAUUGGAGAAGGAGCUGGCCAAUACCCGAGCACAUUUUUGAGGUUAUCGUCAAUUUGGUAACUCUGUUCCUUUUCAAUUUUUUUUUUCUUUUUUUUAACUUAUUGUUUUAGAAGUGUGAAAAAUUUUAGUCAAGAUCAACGAUUUAUUCAUUAGUUAUUGAGGUUUAAAUUUGUUAUAGGAAUUAUUAGGGUUUGGUUUAGGGUUUGGUUAGGAUUUGGAUUAAGGUUUGGGUUAGGAUUUUAUUUAGGAUUUAAGAUUUGAUUAGGAUUUUAUUUAGGAUUUAGGAUUUGAAUUAGGGUUUAAUUUAGGAUUUAGGAUUUGGUUAGGGUUUGAUUUGGGAUUUAAGGUUUGAUUUAGGGUUUGGUUAAGAUUUGGUUUAGGAUUUGGUUGGGGUUUGGUUUAAAGUUUGUUUAGGGUUUGAUUUAAGAUUUAGGAUUUUAUUAGGAUUUAAGAUUCAAUUAGUUUUGGCCUUAAGUUUGAAUGAAGUUCAAUAGGAUUUUAACUAGAAUUAAAUUAAGAUUGAAUUGAGAUGUAUUUGAGUGAUAUUUGUGAUCCUGCUAAUAUUUCUUUAAGAAUUCUUAUUCUUUGUUUGAAAUUUUUUUGAGGUUUUGUUCAACAAAUCAAUCCAAUCGCAUAUCGUUUACAUCUACUGGAGUCAAUGAAAAUCCAUCCAGUAUUCCACGUGUCUCUUUUUGAAUCAUACAAGACAGUGGACAUACCAAGAAGAUGACAAGUUCCACCUCCUCCUAUAGAAGUGGACAAUAAUAAAGACUUUGAAGUAGAAGAAGUCUUAGAUUAAAGGUGGCCCCAAAAUAAAUUAGAAUAUCU